rfam:Macrostomum lignano uti_cns_0001622, whole genome shotgun sequence.
AUUAUGAUGAAACUAUAUUAUAUUUGAAUCUGAGCAUGAUCAGAUAACAUUAUCCUCUAAGAAGUCCUGAAUAU